UAACUAAGGUGCUUAUUACCAUUUAAAGCCGU
rnacentral:piRNA from 1 species